CCUACGGGUGGCUGCAGUCGAGAAUCAUUCACAAUGGGGGAAACCCUGAUGGCGCGACGCCGCGUGGGGGAAUGAAGGUCUGCGGAUUGUAAACCCCUGUCAUGUGGGAGCAAAUUAAAAAGAUAGGACCACAAGAGGAAGAGACGGCUAACUCGGUGCCAGCAGCCGCGGUAAUACAGAGGCCUCAAGCGUUGGUCGGAAUCACUGGGCGUAAAGCGUGCGUAGGCUGUUUCGUAAGUCGUGUGUGAAAGGCGCGGGCUCAACCCGCGGACGGCACAUGAGACUGCGAGACUAGAGUGAUGGAGGGGGAACCGGAAUUCUCGGUGUAGCAGUGAAAUGCGUAGAUAUCGAGAGGAACACUCGUGGCGAAGGCGGGUUCCUGGACAUUAACUGACGCUGAGGCACGAAGGCCAGGGGAGCGAAAAGGAUUAGAUACCCUAGUAGUC
rnacentral:rRNA from 1 species